UCCUACUUAACGAAGAAGACCUUUCGAAUAGAAAACUGGUAAAUACUCAACAAAACAAAAAGGCUACAUAGUUACCCCAAUGAUACAUCAUGCAUAAUCAUGGUUUUAAAAAAAAAAUGUUUUCAUCCAGUUUUUUAAUUCAGUUAGCCUAUAAUUAUUUUUUGACUUCAUGUGCGUAAAUGUUAAAAUUUUUAAUUUCUGAAAUUUAAUCUAAAUUAUAUUAAUGCAGAGUUAUUGCUAAACCAAUUGGCCAUGUUUGUUUUGGUCACGCGAAUAAUGCUAAUUAACGCACACUGGUUUACAUUAAUUUUAUAUCUAUUUUACAAACCAGUAAAAUGGAAAUAAUACUCAACGAAAAAUUGUAGUCAACAAAAUGAACUAGUCAAAUAAGCCCAUUAACAAUUUAUGCAGGUGUUGUGUAUGCUAUCAAAAACCAGGUUCAAUAGCAAUGGAAUUGCUCCAGAGGAGGAUGAGGGGUGGCAACA